GACUGGGCUGGGCUGGUAUCGGUCCAAACGCGGUUUGGAUCUGGUUUCACCCACCAGCGCCUUCGCCCCCGACUGGUCGCCACUCUCCUCCAGAUCCACCGCCCCCACCUCGCCCCCUCCGGCCACCACUCUCACCACGGCACCACCCUGCUCCCUCAGGCCGAUCUUGCCACCUCUCCCACGAAGAUCCGGCGGCACGGAGCCAGACCUCUCCUUCGGUGCGUGGAUCCUGAAACAGCCCCUCAGCAACCUCCCUACGCGGAUCCGGCGGCCACACCUUCUACGAACUCGUCUCCUUCGUGGAAUUGGCAGUGAUUCCUGCGGUCUCCUUCCCCACGAUAAGCCGGCAGAGACUCCAAUAUCGUCUUCCUACGGCGAUCUGGCUUGUAAACAUCUCAACAAUAUGUCAGAGAAUUAUGGUACUAGUAAUUUUGCCGAUGGGACCUUAGUGUUGCCCAAUGCUAGGAGAUCAAAAGCCUGGAAGCAUUUUGAGCCAAAUUUGGUUUUCGUAGAUGGCAUUCGAAAGGCCGUCUGUUUGUAUUGUGGAAUGAAAUUGACAAAUACUCAAAAAUCUGGCAUUAGUAGUCUUAUCAAUCACGUUAGCAAGUCCUGCCCCAAAAUCACAGCAGAAGAUAGGAAUUUUUUUAUAGCAAGUCUUAAAAAGAAGCAAGCAGUCGUUGGAUACAGUAGGACUUCAGACAUUGAUAUGGUACAAAUUUUUGUAUGCAAUAUUUAUCUUUGUGCAUCAGAGAAUCUGCAGAAACUUGGACAGACAGGGGCUGGCGAUUAUUCUCUCUGUUAUUUAAGAUUUCAGUUUCUUGAGCUCAAACACUUAGUCAUCCAGGUGAACAUGCUGCAACCUCACAAGUUUAAAGGAGUAAAGCGCUUAUGAGCUUAUGUGUUCAGGCCUUUGUUUGGAGUACGGAGCUGAUCUGAAGAAUUUUCUAUCUCUGUUCAGAGAUAAAAUGUUUUGUUCAGAGAUCAAUUUUAAAUCAUACUAUUACUUGAAUAUAUUAUUUAUCUGGUAUAUUAUGUUCAGAGAUCAAUUUUAAAUCCUAUCAUGUCUGGAAUUGAUGGAUGUAGCAGUCUGUUUUAGACUGCAGUCCGGUGGGUUUAUUCGUGACCGGCAAAAUACGUGUGUAAACUGAUA